UUCUCGGUUCUUACCAGAAAACAAAAACAGAGUAAAAGAAUUUUUUAACGGACAUAAUUAUGUACAUUUGAGAGAAACAAUGACAUGUUGCCAUGCCAUUGCUUCACUCAAAGUGUUUGGUUUGUGCUGAUGUAAUAUAGAGGUACAUACGUUUAGUAUUUUGGUUGGCUUGGUAAAAUAAACAGGAGCUCUUUGACAGGAACCGUUAUUAGUCCCUUGCCAUUUCUAUGAAGUGUAGUUGUUAUCCUGUUA